rnacentral:rRNA from 1 species
GAAGGCGCUCUGCUGGGCCAUCACUGACGCUCAUGGACGAAAGCCAGGGGAGCGAAAGGGAUUAGAUACCCCUGUAGUCCUGGCCGUAAACGAUGAACACUAGGUGUCGGGGGAAUCGACCCCCUCGGUGUCGUAGCCAACGCGUUAAGUGUUCCGCCUGGGGAGUACGCACGCAAGUGUGAAACUCAAAGGAAUUGACGGGGGCCCGCACAAGCGGUGGAGUAUGUGGUUUAAUUCGAUGCAACGCGAAGAACCUUACCAGGGUUUGACAUCCUGCGAAUCUCUUGGAAACAGGAGAGUGCCUUCGGGAACGCGGUGACAGGUGGUGCAUGGCUGUCGUCAGCUCGUGUCGUGAGAUGUUGGGUUAAGUCCCGCAACGAGCGCAACCCACGUCUUUAGUUGCCAGCAUUUAGUUGGGCACUCUAGAGAGACUGCCGGUGAUAAACCGGAGGAAGGUGUGGAUGACGUCAAGUCAUCAUGCCCCUUACAUCCUGGGCUACACACGUACUACAAUGCUACGGACAAAGGGCUGCAAGUUCGCGAGGACAAGCAAAUCCCAUAAACCGUGGCUCAGUUCAGAUCGUAGGCUGCAACUCGCCUACGUGAAGGCGGAAUCGCUAGUAAUCGCAGGUCAGCAUACUGCGGUGAAUACGUUCCCGGGCCUUGUACACACCGCCCGUCACACCAUGGAAGUUGGCCACGCCCGAAGCCGUUACUCCAACCCUUGUGGAGGAGGACGUCGAAGGUGGGGCUGAUGACUGGGGUGAAGUCGUAACAAGGUAACCGUA